rnacentral:rRNA from 1 species
CGGACGGGUGAGUAAUGUAUGGGGAUCUGCCUGAUGGCGGGGGAUAACUACUGGAAACGGUAGCUAAUACCGCAUAAUGUCUGCGGACCAAAGCGGGGGACCUCCGGGCCUCGCGCCACCAGAUGAACCCAUAUGGGAUUAGCUUGUAGGUAAGGUAACGGCUUACCUAGGCGACGAUCCCUAGCUGGUCUGAGAGGAUGACCAGCCACACUGGAACUGAGACACGGUCCAG